GGACCUUGGCGGUGGGGGAACUGAGCCCAAGGAAGGGUGUUUCCGUUAUCGCACCCAAGAAGGCCCACAUCGUGCAGCAGCAAACGCUCAAGACGCUGAAAAUGGAAAGCGAAAUGCCCGGAUGUGAUAAAGGCUUGGGAUAAAGGCCAGUGUCCUAGAGAGGCAAGAGUUACCACAGAGAGGAAAUGACCGGGGAGCAUCUGACAGCACGUGGCCUGUAAACUACAUGAAAGGAAGACUACAGCUGUCUUCCGGAUUUAGCAUAGUUCAUAGCUGGCACCCAGUAAAUAGAUGUGAGACAACUCACCAAAAGCAAGAGUAAUAUAUGUUCCCUGUAACUUGUUGGAUUCACACUGUAGAAUUUUGGAUAACUCCAGUACGCUCACUCUCAGGGCAUGAUGGUCCGUUGUUGAUACACUGUAGGACGUUUACAGCUGGUACAUCAGCAAUAUCUCCUUGGUAAUUGACAUGGUAAACAGACAGUCUACUUCAGGAUCAUUUAAGUCGGUUUCUGGCUCUUGCAGUUGAAAGAAUGCUGACUCUGCCCUUAUCAAUCCUUUUUCCGCUUCUCAAAUUUAAUGGUUGAAUUGUGUCCCCACCAAAUUCAUAUGUUGAAGAUCUAACCCCCAGCACCUCAGAAUGUGACAGAAUUUGGAAAUAGGGUCUUUACAGAGUUAAUGGAGUUACAAUGAGGUCAUUAGUGUAGGCCCUGAUACAAUAUGACUGGUGUCUCUACAAAAAGGAAGAAUUUGGAGACAUAUACACAUACAAGGGGGAACGCCCUGUGAAAGUGAAGACACAGAAAAAGAAGACAAUGUGAAGGGACGCAGGGAGAAGACAGCGGUCUGCAAGCCAAGGAGAGAGGCCUGGAACUGGUCCUUCCCUCAUGGCCCUAGGAAGGAGCCGAUCCUGCCAACACCUUGUUUUAAGACUUCCAGCCUCCAGAACCUAAUGUGCAAGAGCAAUUUCUGUUGUUUUAAGCCACCCAAUUUGUAAUACUGUAUUUUGUUACAGCUGCACUAGUAAACUAAUACACUAUAAAAUUCUGCCAUAGUUUUAAGUCUUCACUACCAAUUGAUAAAUGACCCCCUAGUUCUUUCUUUAAAAUCACCUUUUACUGUGACAUUGUACCCCUGCUUUGCUCUUCACAUUUGAUUGGCAGUCCUUUGCUCAGUCUUUUAAUUAAGGUCCUGUGCCUC